UUAAGCUAGUCAUGUUCAUAGAUUCCAUAAACAGAAAAUAUUUUUAUUAUUUUCAUUAAUUUAUAUACAUACAAAAUUUACUUAUUUUAUUCUUAACAAUUCAACCUUGAUAGAAAAAAGCCAUGAUCACCGGUGCCGAGUUUUUUACGUUUAAUAUCUGAGUUAAUUGGCUAUGAACCUACAGACUGCAUUAUCGAAUGUAUUUUUAAAAUACGAAGACGUCUUUAACAUAAUAUAAUGAAAAUAAUAGAUUGCAAAUAUGGUGGGUUUUAUUUAAUCUGUGGUUCCGAUACUAGUGACAUUCGGACUUUGGGUUGCGAUUUAGAAAAUAUUGAAAUUAAAGAUACGUGCAUGAAGUAAAUAUGAUAAGAAAAAUAUUAUUUAAAGCAUAAAUAAUUCAUUAUAAAUAAGAUUCAAUAAAUUUAAUUAAGUGUAAAAUAUUUUCAUUGUGUGUUUUUUUUUACAAAACCAGUAACAGUACUUUUAAUUGACUAUUCUUCAUUCAUAUACUAGUUCUUGCCAGCGACUUCGUCCGCGUUAAUGUCAGAAUUAGUAAUAUAUGUAUAGCUGACCGGGCGAACUCUAUCCUGUAUGUUUCGAUAAAACAAAA